CCAGCAUCAUCACGUGCCACAUGAUAAACUUGUCUUUUAGGCUUUUUUGCGUUGCUAUGACGACUGCUGUUGCGCUGCUACAAGAUGUCCAGGGACAAGCGCCCCCGAUCCCCCCCUUCUCCCCACCCCUCAGAAGAAUUUUCCCUGGCCAGCAACGAGGAGUGGGAGCGACCCAGGAAGAGGAGAUGGCCGAACAGGCAUCCAGCGAUCAGCCACGGUCAUCAAGGGACCAAACGGAAAAGAGAAAGAAAAAGAAAAGGCCUAGAAAGGCAAGAAGCCAGCCAGAGGAUAGGUCGGAGGAGGAAGCCUCUUGUGAAGACACAGGAUGGAAGAAUCCGCGUGGACCCCAGUGGCAAACGCAGAAUUUCUAGAGGAGGGUUUCCAAAUGCAAUCCAUAAUCUCCCACUCUGCAGAGCAAGUUCAGGAGUCUGGGGGAGUGGUAGAAGAACCUAUUAACGACCCUGAACAUUGGUACUUUUUAUACAAUGGAUACUGUAUGGCAUACAGUAUUAAUUUUUAACACUAUAGGUGGUCUAUAGUAUAGGCUGUAUGUAUCAAACACAUUUAAACAAUAUAAAUAAGAUAAGUGUUCAGGAAAAGGUUAAACAUACCAUAAUAAAUAAAUACACAAACAUAAUAGAACUAGUAGUAGACAGAAGUGCACUUUGUAAGCACACAUUCUCCCACCUCAUGGAAAGACUGCGUAGGGAACAUACUGUGACCAUAGCAGCAUAAACGCACCGUCGGGGCUUCCGCAGCGCCGCUUGGUGCAUCACCUUGGCUUGGAAGGGGUUAAUGUUUUGUGGUGGGAGGAACGUGGAGAGGGUCCGAGGGGCUGAUUGGCUGGAUCAUGUAUAGGGGCUGGCCUGUCAUACAUAUAGGCUGCUGACAUGGUACUUCCUCCCUCUUUUCAGCUCUUCUCAUGACCCGCCCUCCCGCCCUGGGGACUUGGUUUUGUUUUUUAUUUAUUUGUUGUUCUACAGUCGGGUUCAUUGUGUCGGCUGUUGGUGGCCGGUUUCUGAACGGUUACUUAAUUUUAAUUAUGAGUUCAAGGUUAGUAAGUUUGGGUGUACUUUUAGGUAAAUUUUAUAGUUUUAUAAUUAGUUUACGGGCAUCGCUUUACCAAGUGGGUCCAUAUAACUGGUAUAAACAUAUGUGGAUGGCGGGGCCGGUGUCCCAAUUUUUACCAUGUAGGGGCGGAGCGUACCUCCGUCCCUGCAACUGUUGGUGGGGCAGGGGUAGUGGCAGAAGGCCGACCCCUGUCCUUGGAUUUUCGAUGUCUGGGAUGGAGGCAGGAGGCCGAUCCCGGAACAUCUGGGGCAGAAGGCUCCCUCACACAUAUGUUUUUUAUUGCUUGUUUUUCUGUAUUAUAACAUUGAUCACCCAUGUUACGUUUAUCAUGCUUAACCGUUCUUCUCCCCGCCACCUUAGUUAGAGAGGGAAGUCUGCAUUUUAGUUUUAGUAUUUAAUAGGCCUUCCUCUCAAUCAGAAAAUAAAAGCUGACCCCUU